UACGUAGGGUGCGAGCGUUAAUCGGAAUUACUGGGCGUAAAGCGUGCGCAGGCGGUGAUGUAAGUCAGACGUGAAAUCCCCAGGCUCAACCUGGGAACUGCGUCUGAUACUGGAUGGCUCGAGUUCGGGAGAGGGAAGUGGAAUUCCAGGUGUAGCGGUGAAAUGCGUAGAUAUCUGGAGGAACACCGGUGGCGAAGGCGGCUUCCUGGACCGACACUGACGCUGAGGCGCGAAAGCGUGGGGAGCAACAGG
rnacentral:rRNA from 1 species